rnacentral:rRNA from 1 species
AUGGACAAUCUUGACGGGCCUCCUCCGCUCGGAAAAGCUUUCGAAGAGCAGGCGCUCCAGGCAGGGGGCAUCGUCAACAAUGAUUUUAUCAAAGGUGCAUACCCAUUCCAAUACCACACGGAGGCUGCGGGACUUGAUGCGGAGGCACGAAGGGUAGUUGUACGAGAGGGCAAAGGAGAGGAUCUUCAGUUCAGGGCAGUGUGCGAGCAAGGCGUUGAAUUUCUUGUCUUCGACCAUGGAGUGGAAAAGGCCGAGCUCGUGCAGGUUUGGGAAGGCGGGCCGGUGAGCGGUGGGAAUGUCCGGAAAGUUCCAGAUGCCUAUGUAGAGGCGGCUGAGGGAGGCACAUCUGAGGAUAUCAUCGGGGAGCGGCAUGUUGAUCGGCCAGGGGCGGUUGAAGAGGAUGAGGUCCUGGAUCUUCUUGGCGGCGAGGCCGGCGACCGGGCGCUGGAGCGCGUACUCCUGCUCGUAGAAGGAGGUGCGGGUGAUGCGCACAGCUCGGAUGGAGCCAGGGUGAGCGGCCACGCAGAGCGAGAUGCCGCGCACGGCAUCGAAGACGCUGUGCCCUUCGGCGGCCCUGAAGUGGCCGUCGUCGACAAGGAGCGGGCUCGCCGCCCACACGCAGCGCCAGCGGGUGGAGAGGACCAUGGUGCGUGCGGCUUCCUUGGUGGGGAGGCGGGACAUGAUGUUGGAGAGCAGGUUGCGCGGGAGGCGGCUGAAGUGGUCCUGGCCGUCACCAUCCUGCGCGGGCCCGUCGGCGUCGGCAUCCUCCAAGUCAGAGGAGGUGAGGGAGAAGUGGUCGUCAUCGGAGUCGUCGGCCUCGGGCGCGGGGACCAAGGGUGGGGGGAGGCAGGAGAUGAUCAGGGAUACGAUGCAGACCAUGCCGUCCUGCGCGGACGGACCCUCCAGUGCCAUGUUGUUGAACUACUCCUCGAUGUCGGCGUAGCUCAUAAAUUCUCCUCCUCCUCCAUGUGCGGCGGCGGCCAUGGUGGACGUGGCGGCACCCGGCAGAGACCGGCUAGGGUUUUGUCAGGGUUCUGCGAGGCGAGCAAGACUGAAGAAAUGGGACUGGUUAUCUAA